CUCCCUGUUAAUGCACAUUUUACCUGGACCCAACAGGUCUCUUGUCUCCUACAACAAAUAUUGUGCCAUACUGGGCAGCUGCCAACCUCAAAGCACACGCCUUCCUGCCAGGUGUGAUCAGUGUCUCCUUUUCCAUUUGGCAACCAGGAACUUGUGGCCAGAGGUGGGAGGCACCUGGGCAUCAGCUUCCACCAAGAAUAACAUAAAAGACGUUACUGUUUCAGCAAAUAAAUUAACAUCAUCAUGAAUUUGUGAUUCAUUAUUAUGAAUCACAAAUGUUGCAAAUUCGUGACCAUAUUCAGAGAUUGAGUGUCUCAGAGGGAAUAUUGCAGAAAUCGCAGCCAGGCUGUGCAAAACUGUGGGAUGACUGAGCAGUGGACUUGCACUCUAAAACAGCCCUUCUCCCUUCCUCUGCCCCUGCUCCUUUCCCCAGCCCCUGCUCCCUUCCCCAGCCCCUGCUCCCUUCCCCAGCCCCCGCUCAGGUUGGAUUUCCAUUGACACUUCAAGCCUGGAUGUAAUAAAUCAACUGCUGGU
ensembl:lincRNA